GCCGACCAGGCCGCGUUUCUCAGGCGACCGCACCCCUCACUUUGCUUCUCUCUUUCUGAGGCUGUAGCCUUGGAAUAACCGAGGGUUCUCUGGGAACUGCAGGGUCGUCACCGUACCCCUACCAGAGAAGAAGUACGAACCAUGUUAGUCCUUUUUCUACAGAAGAGGAAGCGGGCCUGAGACACGGAGUCCUUGGCCUGAGAACGCACAGGAAGUGGAGACCACCGUCCUCUAGAGGGUGAGGAUGGUCAGUGAAGAUGGUGAAUCUUGGAACAGGCCCAGCAAAUGAUCCACAGAUCCUAAUUGCUUGUACUUGACUGUACAUUAAAUGUAGAUAAUGUCUGUCAUGGGCUGUUUCAGCCUCCACAUGAGCUGCGCUGAACUGAAAUCAAACAGGCUAAAAAACAGUUCUUCCACUCGGGGACCUUUGUGAAGACUUGAUAGAUGCUGGCUGCUGUCCUGGGUUACUUGCUGAUAUCUCCAGAAAAGUGCUUAUUCUCCAUGAGAUCAUCUGAAAUGGAACCGCUCAGAGCACUUUGUGCAGCUAUAACAGAGUACCACAGACUGAAAAACUUAUCGUGAAUAGAAAUUACUUGGCUCACAGCUCGGGAGGCUGAAAGUCCAAAUUCAGGUGAUGUGUCUGCCGAGAGCCUUUUCGCUGUCAUCCCAUGCUGGAAGGCAGAAGGUGAAAGAGCAAAGAAUGCAAGAGAAAGGGAUGAAGAGAAAGCCAAACCCGCUCCGUCAAUAGUGGCAUAAGGACUCUCAUGACCUAAUCACCUCUUAAAGGUCCCACUUCUCAACACGUUGCACUGAGGAUUAAGUUUCCAACACAGGAACUUUGUGGACACAAUGUGCAUGCCUCUCGUAUAUACCAGUGGCUAUCAUGACACUUCAUCCUGGAAGAAGGCAUCAGGUUAGUUUAGUUCAGAACCCCUAAAGAGCACACUGAAGUCAAUAUCACACACUGAUCUCACCUUCCUGUAAGGAAUUCUACUACUAAUAAUUUUGCUCUAAGAGAACUGAAAAUAUAUCCAAAAAAUGUACAUGCAUGUUUAUUAUUCAUGAUAGCCCUGAUUGUUGAUAAUAACCCAAAAGUGAAAAUCGCCCAAAUUUUCAUCUACUGAUGAAUGAAUAAACAAAAUGUGGUGUAUCUAUACAGAAAUGUUUUCAUCUAUAGAAAGGAAUGACAA